rnacentral:rRNA from 1 species
AGCGAACGCUGGCGGCAGGCUUAACACAUGCAAGUCGAGCGGGCAUCCUUGUGGUGUCAGCGGCAGACGGGUGAGUAACGCGUGGGAACGUGCCCUUCGGUUCGGAAUAACUCAGGGAAACUUGAGCUAAUACCGGAUACGUGCGAGAGCAGAAAGGUUUAUCUGCCGAAGGAUCGGCCCGCGUCUGAUUAGCUAGUUGGUGAGGUUACGGCUCACCAAGGCGACGAUCAGUAGCUGGUCUGAGAGGAUGAUCAGCCACACUGGGACUGAGACACGGCCCAGACCCCUAGGGGAGGCAGCGGGGGGGAAUAUUGAACAGGGGGGGCAACCUGACUCCACCCUUGCGGCGGGAGUAAUGCGGGCCUAGGGGUUGAAAAGCUCUUUUCUCGGGGAGGAUAAUGGGGGUACGGGAGAAAAAAGCCCGGGCAAACUCGGUC